AGCAGCAGCCGCGGUAAUACGUAGGUGGCGAGCGUUGUCCGGAAUUAUUGGGCGUAAAGGGAGCGCAGGCGGACAUAUAAGUCCAUCUUAAAAGUGCGGGGCUCAACCCCGUGAGGGGAUGGAAACUGUAUGCCUUGAGUGCAGGAGAGGAAAGCGGAAUUCCCAGUGUAGCGGUGAAAUGCGUAGAUAUUGGGAGGAACACCAGUGGCGAAGGCGGCUUUCUGGACUGUAACUGACGCUGAGGCUCGAAAGCCAGGGGAGCGAACGGGAUUAGAGACCCCUGUAGUCCCUGUCUCUUAUACC
rnacentral:rRNA from 1 species